rnacentral:rRNA from 1 species
UACAGAGGGUGCGAGCGUUAAUCGGAAUUACUGGGCGUAAAGCGUGCGUAGACGGCUAUCUAAGUCGGGUGUGAAAGCCCCGGGCUCAACCUGGGAAUUGCAUUCGAGACUGAAUAGCUAGGGUACGGUAGAGGGAAGCGGAAUUUCCGGUGUAGCGGUGAAAUGCGUAGAUAUCUGGAGGAACACCGGUGGCGAAGGCGGCAUCCUGGACCAAUAUUGACGCUGAGGAGCGAAAGCCAGGGGAGCAAACGGG